rnacentral:lncRNA from 1 species
UGUAGACCAGUUUUUAAAGAUGUUGAACUGUUUCUUGCAUUUGCUACACUGCAUAGUUUAGUUGAGAGAAUUAAUAAAGUGACUACCAGUCUGUUUCACACUGUCUUCACUCAACACAUUCUUUUUUCAAUUUAGGGUUUCCCCUACCCCUCUCCUUCACACCUCUCAAAACCAUUUUGGAACACGGAGGAAUUAAUUAUGAGAAAGGUUUUGUAAACACUAGGUAAAUUUGGUAGUUUGCUGUUCUAGGUUGGUCAUUGUUUAGAUAAGCCUGAGGACACUCUUCCAGUGAAAGUACUUAUUACAUAAUGGAAGGCCCAGGAAACAGAUGUUUUAUUCUUAACCUCCAUUCGUAGGUUAUUCAUGCCUAUUUAAUUAGUUUGUUGCAUGCUAAUUGAAGCAGAGAUUUAGCCAUCCUUUUCCCUAAUCUGGUGUUUUUCACUUGAUGGUCCAAGUAGAAAGUAUUUGGAUAACAUACUGACUUAGAAGGAUUAGCCUGGUCCGGUUCAGUUUGCCCAGGAAUGUAUGCAGCCACUCUUGAGGUUUGAAAUGUCUAAUGGAUUGACUUGCAGCAGGAGUCAAAAUAGCAAACUCUUUCGAAAUAUUCUUCAUAAAUUUUUUGCCUCAUUUUAUGUAAGCACAUAUUUCAAGUAUCUCUUCAGGAUUUAUUUACUAUGGGAUUUUAUUUUGUUCAUUUUAUCUAGCUUAAUCAGUUUAUGAACUGAUCUUUGAUACCUCAAACACAGUUGUUUUGGGGGACAAUGGUGAGAGGUUUUUGUUUUGUUUUUUUUCUUGUGAUGUAUAUGGUCUUGAUCUCUAGAGGUUUGAAAAUAGUAUCUUCUAGAACUGCUUUGUUUGAAACAAUAGCCAUAUACAGGUACCUUAGCAACUGGGAACACAGCUCAUGGAUAGAGCACUUGUCUAGCAUGUGUGAGGCCCUGGGUUUGAUUCCCAAUACUCUGGGGGAGGAGAGCUUUGUUUUUAAAAAAUUUAGUUCCUCCGAUGCAUGAGGCUUAUAUUUCAAAUGCUUGAACUACCAGUAAAGAACAAUUCAUUCAUCAUAGAAC